rnacentral:lncRNA from 1 species
GCCUCGUCCUCCCGCGGCCAGAGGUGCGACCUCUGAGCCCCUGGCCAGCUCCCAGCCGGCCUAGGGGGGCGGGGGCACGGGGCGGAGGUCCCGCAGCCCGUGCUCGUCCCGCCUCGCUUGGAGGGAGCAAGGGCUCCGAGCCCUGGGCCCAGGUCCUGUGCCUCCGCUUCCCCGGCUGCGGGUACACCCCCAGCUUCCCGAGCCCCCCGGGCCCUCGCUGCUCCACCCAGAAGUUGCGGUGACUGCGGCCCCAGCACCCCGUUCCCUGGCCGGGCAUCACUUGCGCAGCAUGCUGCCCCCAGAGGACAGGGCUACAGUUAGUCGCCCACACCUCAUUCACCCCCUUGGGCCCUUGAGCGUCUUAGAAGCCGCAGAUGCCAAGGAGGGGACGCUGCCUCGCGGAUGGUCACUUGGGAGCAAAGCUGGGGACUAAAGGAACCAGGGACAGAGAUUCCUGCUCUCGCCAAAUUGGCCGCUCUGGGCCAGGCACUGAGGACACACCGCGAAGCCGGAUAGCCAGGUCCUGUCCUCAGGGCCCUGUCCGGAAGAGGACUGGGCAGCCUCGAGUCCGCGGCAAUGAAUGAAUGUUCAAUUGCACAGAUGGGGAGGCGAAGGAGGGAGGGAGGGAGGGAGGGCAGUCGCUUGGGCGGUCAUUGGAGGCUCUGGGAGGCUAUGCGCCGGCAAGAAGCAGCGGGGUGGAGGCAGCCCUGCGGGAGUCGGCGAGGGCCGCGUGGAUGUGCUCGGUGGUUUUGAGGCCAGUGGCUGGAGGGGCGUGAGAGUGGGAGACCAGACUUGAGGGGAGUGGCUGGAGUUGAGACUCAAAUCCAAGAAGGAAACGGUGGGGCUUGGACCACUUGCCUACUGAGAAAAAUGGAAGUCGGGAAGGCUUUAGAUCUAGUCGCGCUUGGUCACUUCCGUCUCCGGGCCUCAGCUUCCCAGGUUGUAGAAAGCAUCAGGGUUGGAGGCUCUGAAAUUCUGGCUCCUCUCAAGCCAAGAUUAGUAUGACUUCAUUUUGGUUGUGCAAGAAAUGGGCCUGCAGCGGUUCGCAGAGGCAGAGGGACCUAAGCUUGAAGGGCAAUCAAACCGGCGUAGGCAGGAACGUCGGGAGCCCAGACCCCAGGCAGGGAGUUUAAGGUCUUGGACACAGAGGGUGCGCUCCUCGAAGCAGCCACAAAGCGGUGACAGAGACCAGGCUUACGUUUUGUUUUGAAAUAAUUUCAAAGUAACAGAAAAGCCGUGAGAAUAGUUCCGAGAACUGCCUCCCUUAUUAAUGCAGAUUCACCAAGCUUUAACAUUCUGCUCCCCAGCCCUUGCAUAUUCAAGCCCCCAUUGCAAGCAUCGGAGAGUAAGUUGCAGGCGCGAUGGCCCUUGAACCCUAAGUCCUCCAAUGUGUAUUGCCCAAGAACAAGGACAUUCUAUUGCACAACCCCAGUGGUUUUCAAGAUCGAGUGAUUUAACCAUAAUACAAUAAUUUAAUCUGCACAACCUUACUCAAAUAUCACCAAAUGUCGCAACGAGGUCUUUUAUAGCACAUCCCCUUCCCAUCCCCAUCCAGGAGCCACGCCAGGAUCACAUUUGUAAAUUUAAUUAUUAUUAUUUAAGACGAGUCUCGCUCUGUCGCCCAGGCUGGAGUGCAGUGGCGCGAUCUCGGCUCACUGCAAGCUCCGCCUCCCGGGUUCACGCCAUUCUCCUGCCUCAGCCUCCCGAGUAGCUGGGACUACAGGCGCCUGCCACCGCGCCCGGCUAAUUUUUUGUAUUUUUAGUAGAGACAGGGUUUCACCGUGUUAGCCAGUCUGGUCUCGAUCUCCUGACCUCGUGAUCCGCCCGCCUCGGCCUCCCAAAGUGCUGGGAUUACAGGCGUGAGCCACUGCGACCGGCCAGGAUCACAUUUAGUUGUUCACCUUUUUCAUUUUGUUAUUUUAUUUCGUUUGUUUGUUUUGAGACAGGGGCUUGCUGUGUCAUCCAGGCUGGAGUGCAGUGGCACCAGCAUGGCUCACUGCAGCCUUGAAUUUUUGGGCUCAAGGGAUCCUCUCCCCUCAGUCUGCAGAGUAGCUGGGACUAUGCAUGCCAACACACCAGGCUUGUUCACCUUUAUUUUAAUUGCAACUUAUUCACCAAGCUUACUUUGGCUGAAGUAAUUUGAAAAAGAUGGGUGCAAAGGGUUCUAGCCUCAUCCUUCAUAACUGCAUGACCCCGGGCAGGGCCCGAGUCCUCUCCAGUGAGAAGUGCCAGGAUCUGGGCAGGGCACAUGGAGGAGCUGGAGCGGGCAGAGGAUGCACUUGCAUUCUGAGAUGGAGCCAUUCUUCCGUCCUCCCUGGCCUGGCCCAUUUCCCCAGGCUCUUGGCGAAGGGGUACCUCCUGAUUCACCCACCACAGUCUUCGAAUGGGGCAUCCAAGACUCCCCAAAAGGCACCAACUCCUUGAGAAGGCAGCUUUGGGGAACAUACUCCCCAUCCUGAGACAGACAAAAGGCCAGUUAGAAGAAUUGCUUUAGGUCUGGAAAGGAAGAGGAGCUUGAAGGACUCCGGAGACUGGAGAUAAACCCUUCUGAGAGUCAGGAGGUUUUCAUUUUAUAUUUGCAAUAAAAUUGGGGGAUAAUCCAACCAACUUGUCAACUAAUAGAGGUUAAAAAUAAUUUCUUUAACUUUUACUAUGGAAAAUGUAAACACAGGCAAAAGUAGAGAGACCUCUACAAUGAACCUUUACUUACCCAUUACCCAGUGGUAACAAAAAUAAUUCUUAAUGAUGGAUUACUAUGGAUUUUGGGCAGAAAAUUCAAAGGAAUAAUUGUGUUGCAUUGCUCCAGUACUCCCUCCUUUCCCUUUGCUUAUUUAUGUGACAAGACUUCUCAGUGCUUACCUCUAUAAAAAUGAGAAAUUGGAAGAGACGAUGCCGACCAUUGACUCAUCACAGAAAUAAAGAAUGUUUAUCCACUGGUGCACUAAAUGAGGUUUGGGUAGUAGCGCAACAAUCAAUGUAUAAGAAAUACAUUGCUAACAACAUUUUACUUUGUUUAAUAAGUAUCUAUCAACACUUGUAGGCCGGGUGCAGUGGCUCACCCCUGUAAUCCCAGCACUUCAGAAGGCCAAGGCAGGAGGAUCACUUGAGCUUAGGAGUAGAGACCAGCCUCAGCAACAUGGUGAAACCCCAUCUCUACAAAAAAUUAGCCGGGCAUAGUGGCGCGUGUCUGAAGUCCCAGCUACUGGAGAGGCUGAGGCAGGAGGAUCACUUGAGACUGGGAGGUCAAGGAUGCAGUGAGCUGUGAUAGUGCCAUUGCACUCCAGCUGGGGCAACAGAGCGAGACCUUGUCUCAAAAAUAAUUGUAAUAAAUUUAUGUUUUGAUGAAUUGUAUGCUAAUGUUAUUUGUAAUAACUUACCAGAAUUUUUUUUAAGAGAUGGGGGUCUCACUGUCACCCAGGCUGGGGUGCAGUGGUGCAGUAAUGGCCCACUGCAGCCUCAAACCCCUGGCCUCAAACUAUCCUCCCAUGUCACAGGGACUACAGGUGCAAGCUGCCAUGCUUGGCAAUUUCUUUGAAACGUUUAGUGAUUGUAGUCACAGAAAAUGUGUGUUUUUCCAUUUUGGUUUACACGCAUAGUUUCUACUAUGGAGAAGUAGGAUGGUGUGACCAAUAAGAUACUUUCAGGCAUGAGAAUACAUCAUUGUAGGCUCAAAGUUUGUGGGGGCAGUGGAAUUGAAUACGAGUUUCUAAGAGAAAUAAACUGAUGUAAAAACUUCAUUUAAAAAAAGGCCAGGGCCGGGCUCUGUGGCUCACGCCUGUAAUCCCAGCACUUCGGGAGGCCGAGGCGGGAGAAUCACGAGGUCAGGAGAUCGAGACCAUCCUGGCUAACACGGUGAAACCCCGUCUCUACUAAAAAUACAAAAAAUUAGCCGGGCGUGGUAGCGGGCGCCUGUAGUCCCAGCUACUCGGGAGGCUGAGGCAGGAGAAUGGCGUGAACCCGGGAGGCGGAGCUUGCAGUGAGCCGAGAUCGCGCCACUGCACUCCAGCCUGGGCCACAGAGCGAGACUCCGUCUCAAAAAAAAAAAAAAAAAAAGGCCAGGCGCGGUGGCUCACGCCUGUAAUCCCAGCACUUUGGGAGGCUGAGGAGGGUGGAUCACCUGAGGUCAGGAGUUCGAGACCAGCCUGGCCAACAUGGUGAAAUGCCAUCUCUACUAACAAUACAAAAAAUUAGCUGGGUGUGGUGGCACGCACCUGUAAUCCCAGCUACUGGGAGGCUGAGGCAAGAGAAUCACUUGAACCCAGGAGGUGGAGGUUGCAGUGAGCCGAGAUUGCUUAAUUGCACUGGGCAACAAGAGCGAAACUCCAUCUCAAAAAAAAAAGAGCUUGUUCAUGUACUUUUACAUGGGUAGUGGUGGGCAUCCAGCAACUAUGGGCUUUUAGAAGCCGCUGGAUGCAUUAUACAAGUGAUGAAACAGCUCAUUUAACGUCAGUGUUGGCCUAGCGCAGUGGCUCACGCCCGUAAGCACUUUGGGAGGAGUAAGCCAAGGCAGGAGGAUCAUUUGAGUUUAAGACCAGCCUGGGCAACAUAGCAAAAUCCCAUCUCUACCAACAAAGAAGAAAUUAGCUGGCCAUGAUGGAACACCCUGUUGUCCGAGCUUCUUGGAUGGCUUGAGCCCAGUUCAAGGCUGGGCUGCAAGUUCAAGGCUGCAAGUGAGCUGUGAUGGUGCCGUUGCACUCCAGCCUGGGAGAUAGAGUGAGACCUUGUCUCUAAAAUGAAUAAAUAAAUAAGAAAAGUUAAAAAACAUUUAAAAUAAGUGAAUAAAAACUCAAUAUUUACCAUAUCCAGGAAAUCACAUCCUUUGCUUCCAGUUUAAUGUUGUAAAUAUGAAUUUUUAAACGUGUGAGAGGGUAUAAGGUGUUUCCAUAUUCUUUUGGGGGACCCACCGGUAACACAGUUUGCGGUUCCUGGCUGGGCAGUGCCUAGGAGCUGCCCCCUGAGGUGUGGGAGCCCGCCAUAGGCUGCCCUCCAGCAGACUCCAGUUCCUCUAGGUACCUGUUCUAUUUUUUUUUUCUUUGAGUUUUUUUAAUAAAAUAAUCUCAUGCAUCAGGAGAGGACAGGGUCAGGGAUUGGGGCCGCUGCCUCUAUGGUCUGUGGCUGGGGAGGGUGGGCUCCGCUCAGGGCUGGAGGGCUCUGUGGGCUAUGGGGGCAGAGGCUUGGUUCCAAGGCUGGAUCCUAGCCUUGGGGAUGGAGGUGCCUUGAACUUCGGCCUGCAUUUGAAGACGGGGAAGCGCUGCAGUCGCAGGGGCUGUUCAGCAGGGGCCUGGAGCUGGUCCUCAAGCACAGACACCGCUCACGGCCCUGCCGAGAGAGGCUG